rnacentral:rRNA from 1 species
AUUGAACGCUGGCGGCAGGCCUAACACAUGCAAGUCGAGCGAGCGGCGGACGGGUGAGUAAUGUCUGGGAAACUGCCUGAGGGAGGGGGAUCACUACUGGAAACGGUAGCUAAUACCGCAUACCAUCAGAUGUGCCCAGAUGGGAUUAGCUAGUAGUUGGGGUACCGGCUCACCUAGGCGACGAUCCAUCGCUGGUCUGAGAGGAUGACCAGAAACACUGGAACUGAGCGACGGGCCAGACUCCGACGGGAGGCAGCAGUGGGGAAGAUUGCACAAGGGGCGCAAGCCGGAUGCAGCCAUGCCGCGUGUGUGAAGAAGGCCUUCGGGUUGUAAAGCACUUUCAGCGGGGAGGCGUUACCCGCAGAAGAAGCACCGGCUAACUCCGUGCCAGCAGCCGCGGUAAUUC